rnacentral:rRNA from 1 species
GAUGAACGCUGGCGGCGUGCCUAAUACAUGCAAGUCGAGCGAACAGACGAUGAGCUUGCUCCUCUGACGUUAGCGGCGGACGGGUGAGUAACACGUGGAUAACCUACCUAUAAGACUGGGAUAACUUCGGGAAACCGGAGCUAAUACCGGAUAAUAUAUUGAACCGCAUGGUUCAAUAGUGAAAGACGGCUUUGCUGUCACUUAUAGAUGGAUCCGCGCCGCAUUAGCUAGUUGGUAAGGUAACGGCUUACCAAGGCAACGAUGCGUAGCCGACCUGAGAGGGUGAUCGGCCACACUGGAACUGAGACACGGUCCAGACUCCUACGGGAGGCAGCAGUAGGGAAUCUUCCGCAAUGGGCGAAAGCCUGACGGAGCAACACCGCGUGAGUGAUGAAGGUCUUCGGAUCGUAAAACUCUGUUAUUAGGGAAGAACAGAUGUGUAAGUAACUAUGCACGUCUUGACGGUACCUAAUCAGAAAGCCACGGCUAACUACGUG